rnacentral:rRNA from 1 species
AUAUCACUCAGCGGAGGAAAAGAAACCAACAGGAAUUGCCUUAGUAACGGCGAGUGAAGCGGCAAAAGCUCAAAUUUGAAAUCUGGCUCACGCCCGAGUUGUAAUUCGUAGAAGAUGCUUUGGGUGUAGCUCCGGUCUAAGUUCCUUGGAACAGGACGUCAUAGAGGGUGAGAAUCCCGUAUGUGACUGGUAGCUUUCGCCCGUGUAAAGCUCUUUCGACGAGUCGAGUUGUUUGGGAAUGCAGCUCAAAAUGGGUGGUAUAUUUCAUCUAAAGCUAAAUAUUGGCCAGAGACCGAUAGCGCACAAGUA